rnacentral:rRNA from 1 species
UACGUAGGUGGCGAGCGUUGUCCGGAUUUAUUGGGUUUAAAGGGUGCGUAGGUGGCCUAUUAAGUCAGGGGUGAAAGACGGUAGCUUAACUAUCGCAGUGCCUUUGAUACUGAUGGGCUUGAAUACAGUUGAAGUAGGCGGAAUGUGACAAGUAGCGGUGAAAUGCAUAGAUAUGUCACAGAACACCGAUUGCGAAGGCAGCUUACUAAAGUGUGAUUGACACUGAGGCACGAAAGCGUGGGGAUCAAACAGG